rnacentral:rRNA from 1 species
UACGGGGGGAGCAAGCGUUGUUCGGAUUUACUGGGCGUAAAGGGCGCGUAGGCGGUCAGCACAAGUCAAUUGUGAAAUCUCCGAGCUUAACUCGGAAAGGUCAACUGAAACUGUGCGACUAGAGUGCGGAAGGGGCAACUGGAAUUCUUGGUGUAGCGGUGAAAUGCGUAGAUAUCGGGAGGAACACCGGUGGCGAAGGCGGCGACCUGGGUAGAUACUGACGCUGAGGCGCGAAAGCGUGGGGAGCAAACAGG